GGCGAGGCGAAGGCAAGGCCAGGCCUAGUCUCAAUUUCCUCACAUAGGCCAACUUCUGGGACUCAGGAAGCCCAGCGCCGGGUCCCAAACCACCUCUCAGGGGGUAGGGCAGUAAUUGUUCUUGAUAAUUUUGUUGCCCACCCCCCUCCGCGAUGACACCUGGGGCAGACCGCCCCCCCCCAUUCGCCCCUGAAGGCAGACUGGAUUCUCCGGAUAUUUCCCCCUUUUCUUCCCCAUGAAACAACAAUCACACCACCUUGCAAACGGUAAAAAAACAAGAUUUACUCGCUCGGAAUACUGGUUGAAGAGUAACGGGUGCAGCAGCUUUAAGGCAGACUUAAAAUGGUGAUUCAGUUACCAAGACUUACCUUUAAUACAGUUUUUGGUUUGUUUGUUUUUUAAUUAUUAGAUUUUCCACCUUAAAAUGGGGUCUGAGGAUUGGCAUGCAGAUUGUUCUUCACAUUUCUGGUUCGGUGAUCCGAUGAAGAAGAGGAAGAGAAGAAAUGGGGUGGGAUGUGCCCAGGCAGGUAAGAGAAUAUAUCUGUUUCUCUCACAGAGUUCUCUCUAGCAAAUUUACAAGGAAACUCCUAUCAUGUGCCUAUCGAGCAAAACACGAAUCGUUGGUUUGUCUGCAUUGUAAAUAUCCCACAAUAUCUAGAUGCCUCUGGGAAAAUUAAGAUUGUGAGCGACUGGGUUCUUUGCAGUACCCCCAGCUGCUUUGGGGGCGAAAGAAAAGAUUUUUUAAAUAAUUAAAAGGGAUGAUCUUGGGUUGGCACAAAAGACCCAGGAUUUAGCCUUUCUGGGCCCUUACGGUUGCCCCCUCUCUUAAGACAAUUUCCUUUCUAAAGCUUAGGGAAAGCCUAUCUCUGGCUGGCUUGGGAACUAUCAAAUUGUAUGUGGGAACUAUGGUAGAUCGCAUCUAUUGCGUAUAAUCCAUUUCACUAAUAAAUAAUACAGAGCUCCACAUGGUUCUCCAGAAUGAAUUAUGCUGUAGUAUCAGAAGCUAUUUCCCCAAAGGUCAUUUAACAAACUGUUGAAAUAAGCAUCUGCAGCCGAGUGGAUGAAUUUCAUGCAAUUUGCAAUUGCACAAAUACGAAUUAGAGUUGUUUGUCAAAGGGACUGGCUAUUCAGAAACGGGCUAUUCAGAAACGAUUUGUGAAUCUGAAAAGCAGGGAUUGCUUUUGGUCUAAGUUAAGGAAAUCAUUGAAAACCAGCGGCCACCUCUUGCAGGAUCUGCGCAUAGGGAAAUGCAUAGAGCAUGAUCUGGUUCACAUGAAGCACUUUUAAAUCUCACCGAUUUCCAUGGGGGAGAGGGACUGCAAGUGCUUCAUCUUGACCACGCAAUAGUUUUCUGCACCAGAUUUCCUUUCCAGGGACAGUCCUGGAUUUAAAGAAGCCGCCCUAGUUUCUUAGCCAGUGUGGUGUAGUGGUUAAGAGCGGUAGUCUCGUAAUCUGGGGAACCGGAUUCGCUUCCCCGCUCCUCCACAUGCAGCUGCUGGGUGACCUUGGGCCAGUCACACUUCUCUGAAGUCUCUCAGCCUCACUCACCUCACAGAGUGUUUGUUGUGGGGGAGGAAGGGAAAGGAGAAUGUUAGCCGCUUUGAGACUCCUUAAGGGGAGUGAAAGGCGGGAUAUCAAAUCCAAACUCUUCUUCUUCUUCUUACUUGAUCCUAGACUUUUCCACAGGACGUUCCUAUUUUCAUCUGAGAAAUGUUGGAGAGUAUGGAGUUAUCCGACCCCCUGAGCCAUCUAAUGGCAGCCCUCUAUACAGAAAUUUGUUAAUGGUCAAUGUUUUAUUAUGCUUUUAUGUAUGUUGGAAGCUGCCCAGAGUGGCUGGGGCAACCCAGUCAAAUGAGUGGGGUAUAAACAGUAAAAUUAUUAUUAUUAAAUUAAAUAGGGCAUCCCUAUUUUCAUUGGAGGAGUGUUGGAGGGUAUGGGUUUCUUUGGGAGUACUCAAACAAAUAAAAGGUAAAGGACGUGGGUGGCCCUGUGGUCUAAACCACUGAGCCUCUUGGACUUGCUGAUCAGAAGGUCAGCGGUUUGAAUCCCCCAAAGGAGGGAGCUCCUGUUGCUCUGUCCCAGCUCCUGCCAACCUAGCAGUUCAAAAGCACACCAGUGCAAGUAAAUAAAUAGGCGUCGCUGUAGCGGGAAGGUAAACAGCGUUUUCACUCCCUCUGGCUUCUGUCACGGUGUCCCGUUGCGCUAGAAGUGGUUUAGUCAUGCUGGCCACAUAACCCAGAAAGCUGUCUGUGGACAAACGCUGGCUCCCUUGGCCUGAAAGCGAGAUGAAUGCUGCAACCCCAUAGUUGCCUUUGACUGGACUUAACUGUUCAGGUGUUCUUUACUCCCCCCCCCCUUACUCAAACAAAUCAGAUUUUUCUAGUGCUUCCUUUGCUUUACAACGUAGUUUUUGCAUAUAGAAAUAUAUAUCUUCUUCUUUGGCUAUCACUCGUAGCCGAGUAAGAUUGUCUUCCAUAAACAUGGUUUUAACAGUGAGUCCGUAAGUGACUGUGGAGGCCAAUUCUGGAUCCACACGUCCUUCCACAGUGGGGACAUUAGUUUCCAGGCGGGAGUUGAUCAUGGUGUGGAUUUGCCAAGCGUGCCUUCCUCUUAGCAAGUUUCUCCCUUGCGUCCUGAGUUUGAGUGUCUUCAAAGCCCAUGACACCUUUGGUAAAGGCUGUUCUCCAACUGGAGCGCUCGCAGGCCAGUGUUUCCCAGUUGUCAGUGUUUAUAUUACAUUUUUUUAGAAUUGCCUUGAGAGAGUCUUUAAACCUCUUUUGUUGACCACCAGCAUUACACUUUCCAUUUUUAAGUUUGGAAUAGAGUAGUUGCUUUGGAAGAUGAUAAUCAGGCAUCCGCACAAUACAGUGGUGCCCCGCAAGACGAAUGCCUCGCUAGACGAAAAACUCGCUAGACGAAAGAGUUUUGCGGUUUUUGAGCUGCUUCGCAAGACAAAUUUCCCUAUGGGCUUGCUUCGCAAGACGAAAACGUCUUGCGGUUUUUGCAAGUUUGUUUCCUUUUUCUUAACACCGUUAAUACAGUUGCGACUUGACUUCAAGGAACAACUCAUAGAACGCGGUGUGGUAGCCUUUUUGAGGUUUUUGGUGAUUUUUGAAGCUUUCCAAAACUUUUCCGACACCGUGCUUCGCAAGACAAAAAAUUCGCUAGACGAAAAAACUCGCAGAACGAAUUAAUUUCGUCUUGCGAGGCACCACUGUAUGACCAGUCCAACGAAGUUGAUGUUGAAGAAUCAUUGCUUCAACACUGGUGAUCUUUGCUUCUUCCAAUACACUGAUAUUAGUUUGCCUGUCUUCCCAAGUGAUGUGUAAAGUUUUUCGGAGACACUGUUGAUGGAAUCUUUCAAGGAGUUGGAGAUGAUGUUUAUGGUUCAUGUUUCACAAGCAUAUAGUACAGUGAUACCUCAGGUUAAGUACUUAAUUCGUUCCGGAGGUCCGUACUUAACCUGAAACUGUUCUUAACCUGAAGCACCACUUUAGCUAAUGGGGCCUCCUGCUGCUGCUGCCGCGCCGCUGGAGCAUGAUUUCUGUUCUCAUCCUAAAGCAAAGUUCUUAAUCUGAAGCACUAUUUCUGGGUUAGUGGAGUCUGUAACCUGAAGCGUAUAUAACCUGAAGCGUAUGUAACAUGAGGUACCACUGUAUACCCUGAGGUGCACAUAUAGAAAUAUCUAUAUAUACCCUGAGGAAAUUUGCCUUUUUGGUGUAGGGAUCAAAAAAUCGUCAAGAACCAAAAAAUGCCACCGGCCUCUUUAUGUAACAGAAGGUGCAUUGUCACAGAAAUGACAUCUGUAGUGUAUCAAAUUCCAAGCCACUGCCCUAAUGUGUCAUUAACAUUCAGAUGCCUGCAUUGUGUAGUCUUUUAGAAACGGGGGCGAGGGGGGCUGAAACGAUCCAAUCUUUAAGGCUACAUUUGGAGCACAGUGCUCUGUAAUAACUUGUGCUUUUCAAAACCCCUUUCCCCACUCAGUCAAAAGAGGGUGGUGAAGGCUGUUGUUUGAGCCACAGCUGCUCUGAUAUUUUGAGAAAAAUGAAAAGUGCCAUUAUGGUUAAAAUGCUGUGAGAUCAGCAUUCUUUUUCCCCCAUGCACACACUCACAUCCCCAUUGCACAUUUCAGGUUUUUUUAUAUAUAAGGUCUGCUCUGUUUUCCUGGCUAGUAAUGAUAUAGGAUUGCCAGGUGACUCAAAUUUUAAUGGGUUUUCUUUCCUCGUGUUUACUCCUCACUUGGUUUAGGUUUAAGUUACAGGGAAAACAUUCAAAACAAUGGAAAUUAAAAUAAAACAAUGGAAAUUAAAAUAAUUUUCAGGAACACAACAGUUCCUGGUUGUUACACUGCUUUUUGCUUUGCUCACAGCAACUAGCCUUAUGGUACAGAAGGCAAAAUGAGGUAUAAAUUUGAGAAUAAGGACUAAGAAAUAAGGAGCAUUCAACUAUGCAUGUGUGUGUGUGUAUGCGCAUGGUGUUUGGGUGGUUUGUCGCAGCCUUUUCUGUUCUGCUGCCAACCAGAUGCUUUUGAUUCCAACUCCCAGCAACCCCAGUCACUAUGGUCAUGAUGGGAGUUGAUUUCCAAACAGCUGGAUGGCACCAAACUAGGAAGGCAGGGAGAGGUGGAUUUUCCCAUUGAUCAAGUGAAAUCGCGUACCCAAAAUCUUGCCCCCACCUUAUCAUAACUUCUUUAAUCUGUUCUUCUUUAAGUUCCCAUUCAAGUAAUAAAUUAUAAUUUUUUGACAAAUUAAUUUGGAAUUAUUUAAAAGUUCUAGCUUGAGUUUUGAUUCUUUAUGAAAUCCAAUUUUAUUAUCGGAAUUAAAUUUAUCAUAUAGUUGAUGAUAUUGUAACUGUAAUAAAUGUAAGGGUUGCUCGUGCGCAAGUUGGUGCCACUCCUGGCUAGGUUGCCUUGUUAAACCUUUUCUGUCUGGACAGCCCUGCACUUCGUGGCUGUUCAGUCGCUAGCAGAAUCCGUCAGUGGGCGUUUCUUAAACCUUUUCCAGCAUAAAAGUUGUUUGACUCCAAGUCUCCUCCUACUCUCCCUGCGCGGAAGCCUUCUGCGCAGGGAGGGCGUGGGUAGCGGAGGACCCGUGCUCUCCUCGCUGAUCUCCGGCGAGGAGUCCUGGAGCCCCCCUCGCAGAUUCCCCCAUCUGCCCCCCUUUAUCCCUGGUGUUACGCUGAUUUCUUUCCCCAGCUGGUGAGCCGCCUCUCCCCCUGCUGGGCCCUUCUCCAGCAUCGCUUGAGAGCCUAGCCUCCGCCUCUGGCUCCGAUGUCAGUUCCCUGACAUCCACCUCCCCCCCAGGACCCCCUUCACCCCCGGCCCGACCUUUUGAUCCAACUUCGUCCCUUUCCUCGGCCGACGAUGCGGGGAAUCCCCGGAAGGAGCUGUCGCCAUCCUCUGAGGAUUCAAAACCCGCUUACCACCCGCUCCGAUCUCUCCCGCGGGGUGGGCCUCCCAGUCUGAUUCUUCUUCCUCCGAAGCCUCUCCUCCCUCCUCUUCGGAGGCAGAAAAACCCACAAAAUCCUCUUCAUCGUCUGUGGUUCCAAAUUGCUCCUCCCAGAAUCUCGCUAGUGGCUUGGGUUUGUCCGGGAACAGGCUGUGGAAUUCCUCCACAAGAUACCCGUCAUUGAUUGCCUCCGCGGGAACCCACGUGUUUUCCGACCCGGGUUCUCCCUCCCAAGCUACCAGGUACUCCACCUGGCGCCCUCGCCACCUUGAAUCGAGUAUUUCCGUGGCCCGGUUGUGGUGUUCCCUCUCCUCUAUCUGCGGGUGUGUGGUGACUUCGCCUUCCCGCCCCGGGACUCCCCGCCCCUCCCUGUACGGUGAGAGUAGGGACCUAUGGAACACCGGGUGUAUCUUCAUGCUGUCCGGCAACUUGAGCUUGAAUGCCACGGGGUUCACCUGCUGUGUUACCUCAAACGGCCCCAGCCGCCUUGGCUGCAACUUCUUGCACCCCCCCUUAAAGGGUAACCCUUGGGUUGACAACCACACCCGGUCCCCCACCCGUAUGGUCUCCCCUUCCCUACGGUGCUUGUCUGCCUGCCUCUUGUAAAUUUCCUUGGCCCGUUCUAAGUUCAUCUUAAGUUGCUGGUGCAGAGCCUCCAUUUCUUCCACAAACUGCUCUGCCGCAGGUACGCUCCACCCUUCCUCCCCACUCCCCGGGAAGGCCCUGGGGUGACACCCAUAAUUGGCCAUGAACGGGCUCAUUCCCGUGGACACAUGUUCAGCGUUAUUGUACGCAAAUUCAGCCAGCGCUAGUUUCUCUACCCAAUCGUUCUGCCUCUCGCUGACGUAGCAGCGUAGGUAUUGCUGGAGUACACUGUUCGCUCUUUCUGCUUGCCCGUUGGUUUCCGGAUGUCUCGCCGUCGAGAAGCUCACCUCUACCUGCAGCAAGCUCAUGAGCUUCCUCCAGAACCGGGAAGUAAAUUGUUUCCCGCGAUCCGAAAUUACUCUCGAGGGAGCCCCAUGCAACCUGAAGAUGUGAUCCACAAACAACUUGGCUGUCUCCUCUGCGGUCACCGCAUGUGAACAAGCUAUGAAAUGGCACAUCUUUGUCAAUAGAUCGACUACUACCAUGACUGCUGUCUUCCCCCGGGACUUGGGCAAAUCGGUCAUAAAAUCAAUGGACACCACCUCCCAGGGUCUUCCCGGCGUGGGUAAGGGUUCCAGUAACCCUGCGGGGGCAGCCCUUUCCCCCUUUGCCCUUUGGCAGCGGUCGCACCCCCGUACAUAUUCCCGUACAUCCUCCCUCACCCUUGGCCACCAGAACUGCCUGGUGACGAGCAUCAUGGUUUUGUGCUGUCCAAAGUGCCCAGCUGUGGGGCUGUCGUGGAGUUGUUUGAGUACCUUUCCCCUCAGGGUCUCCCCCGGUACAUACAGCGCCCCCUUAUAGUACAGCACCCCUUCCUUUUCCUCAAAACCCCCUUGGUUUUCUCUUCCAUCUCGGAGUUCCCGGAUUUUAGUUUGAGCGAACACGUCGUUUCUAGUAAGCCCGGCCAGUUCUCGUUUCCCAACCAAGGCUCCCCACACACCCAUCGGUCCUCGGGGAUCACGUGUCGUAUCUCCGGCGGUCCCUCUCCUUCCAUGUACUCCGGCUUCCGGGAGAGAGCAUCUGCUCUUACGUUUUCCUCUCCUGGCACGUAUCGGAUUUCGAAGGAAAACUUGGAGAACUCCUGUGCCCAUCGAAUCUGUCUCUGGUUGAGUACUCUUGCGGUCCUCCAGUACUCCAAGUUCUUGUGAUCAGUACAAACCUGGAUCUUGUGCUGUGCCCCUAUCAGCAGAUGUCGCCAUCGGCGAAACGCCGCAUAGAUCGCAAGCAGUUCGCGGUCGUACACCGUAUAGUUUUGCUCCGACUUGCUCAGCUUCCUCGAGAAAAAGGCACACGGCUUCCAUUCCUGCUUGCUCCUCCCUGGCUGCAAAAGAACCGCCCCAAUGGCUCUGUCGGACGCGUCGGUCUCUAGCCUCAUGGGUUUCUCCAGAUCAACGUGCAGGAGCUGCUCUUCCGAGCGAACGCCUUCUUCAGUCUUUCAAAGGAUUGCUGGGCACUUUCUGUCCAGACAAACUUCUUUUGCUACUGAGACAAUCUGUGAUGGGCGCUGUCAAGUGGGCGAAGUUCUUGAUGAACUUCCUGUAGAAGUUGCUGAACCCUAGGAACCUCUGCACGUCCUUCCGGGUUUUGGGGGCCUUCCAUUCCAGCACCGCCUGCACCUUGCUUGGGUCCAUAGCUAGGCCUUUGUCUGACAACUUGUACCCCAGAAACUCGACUUCUCUGGUGUGAAACUGACAUUUUUCCAGCUUGACCCACAACUGGUGCUUCUGCAGUCUCUUUAGCACUUCCCUGACGUCUCUGACAUGUUGCUUCUCAUUGUCCGAAUAGAUUAAGACGUCGUCCAAGAAGGCUACGCAGUUCUUGUACAGCAGGGACCCCAACACGUGGUGCAUGAAAGCUUGAAAACAGGCGGAGCCCGACUGUAAUCCAAAUGGCAUAACUAAGUACUCAAAGGCCCCCAGGGGGGUGAACAUUGUGGUCUUCCAUUCGUCCCCCUCCCUCAUCCUAAUCAAAUUGUAUGCUCCCCUGAGGUCCAGCUUGGUAAAAAAAUUUCCCUGCCUCACCCGUGUUAAAAUGUCGUCAAUCCUGGGCAUUGGGAAGGUCACGGGUUCUGAUACCAAAUUUAACGCCCUAAAAUCUACGACCAAUCUGGGCUGGUUAGUCCCUUUUUUGUCCACAAAGAACACCGGACUGCCCCCCACCGCCUUUGAUUCCCUUAUGAACCCCCUCUUCAGGUUCUUGUCAAUAAACUCCCGCAACUCCUUCAUCUCCCGGUCCGACAUGGCAUACAGUUUACCCACUGGCAGCUGAGCCCCUGGGAGCAAGUUGAUUUGGCAGUCAAAGGGUCUAUGGGGGGGUAGUCUAUCCGCCUCCUUCUCGCUGAAGACCUCCUGCAGGUCAGCAUAUUGUGGUGGCACCUCCCCUUUCGGCUCCACCGCUAACCCAGCCACCCUGGCCACGGUCAUCCUUGGGGUUUCCCCCCCUAGACAGUGUUCCAAGCAGUAAGCUGACCCAAAGGUGACCGUCCGCUGAUGCCAUGCCACUACUGGAUCAUGUAGUGCCAGCCAGCUCAUCCCUAAUAUUAUUGGGGGUCCUGCCAGUGUGGCUACGUGAAAGGCAAUGGUCUCCGUGUGCCUGGAAACCCUCAUUCUCAUUGGUGGGGUCUGGUGCGUCACUUCCCCUCCCAGAAGCUCCCUGCCAUCAAUGGUGGUCACUUGCAAGGGAAAAUCCAGGGGCAGCAGGUGGAGCUGGUGCUCUAGGGCGAAGUCCUUGCUGAAGAAAUUGCAGGAACUGCCUGAAUCCAACAGCCCCUUCACCUUGACUGGGUGCCCAUUCGGGAGUUCUAGCACCACUUCUAUGGCUAUGGCCGCUCUGGGGGUCUGGCUGGGGCACUUCUAUUGGUUGCUGGCCUGGCUGCUGUGCCCGCUGAGUGGCAGCCAAGCGUUGGCGUUUCCCUGCUCCUGCUCCUUUUCCCCCUCCUCCUCACCUCCAGCAGCUCCCACCAUUCCUUGCCAGGCCUUUCUUUGAGGGCAGACCCUGGCAAAAUGUCCUGGCCGCUGGCAGAGGAAACACUUCUUAUUAGUUUUCCAAUCCUUUCCCUCCCUUUUGCGACCUUCACUGGAGUUUGAAACCUCCCACGCGCGCGCCAUCAAUUUCCAUUGGCUCUGCCGGCGGGGAAGGCUGCCUCGGUAUUUCAGGAAUGCGGUAGUCAUGGCAACGUUCCCCUCUCCCUUCCCGCUUCUCCUGAGCCCGCGCUUCCUGUCUUACGCCAAUCGCAAGCACAGCCUUGGUCAGCUGAUCCAUCGACUGCGGGCGGGGCGCGCGGGAAAGCUCGUCCUUCACCGUUGGGGACAACCCCUCCUCAAACAACAUCUGAAUGGGUUCCGAGUCCAAUUCCCACCCGAGCCGGUGGACUAACAUGGCAAAGCGCGACCAGUAGUCUCUAACUGACUGGUUCCCCUGUUUACAACCCAUCAGUUCCCGCCGAGUCACACUUUGCUGCACAUCACUGGAAUACAUCGCAUCCAUCGCCUGGAAGAAUUUCCUCAGGUCUUUCAAGGCGGCAUUUUGCGUUGCCAUUAGGGGCCUGAUCCAUUCCCUGGCCCCAUCCUGCAGAUGCCCGACAAUGUAUGCCACCCUCUCCCCAUCGUCCGCAAAAUCCUUAUGCUGCAGUUCCAAAGCGUAUUCUAUUUCCGUUCGGAACGCGUUGUAGUCCUGGGGCUUCCCCCCAAACUUGUGUACCAGUCCCGGUACCUUCCUUGCUACGGGGUGGUCCUGACCUGUGUAUUGUGAGCCCGCCUUUCUUCCAACCGCGCCGUGAGAAGAGCCACAUGCUGUUCCAAAUCUCGGUUCCUCUCCACCAGAUUUUGCACUCCAGCUGCUCCCUCCGUGGCGCCGGCUUCUCCGGUUUGGCUCAUUCUGCUGCCUGCCUGUCGCUGCGCACAAGCAACGUCAAGGACUGACGGAUUGCUGUAAUAAAUGUAGGGGUUGCUCGUGCGCAAGUUGGUGCCACUCCUGGCUAGGUUGCCUUGUUAAACCUUUUCUGUCUGGACAGCCCUGCACUUCGUGGCUGUUCAGUCGCUAGCAGAAUCCGUCAGUGGGCGUUUCUUAAACCUUUUCCAGCAUAAAAGUUGUUUGACUCCAAGUCUCCUCCUACUCUCCCUGCGCGGAAGCCUUCUGCGCAGGGAGGGCGUGGGUAGCGGAGGACCCGUGCUCUCCUCGCUGAUCUCCGGCGAGGAGUCCUGGCGCCGCCCCGCCGAGUCCCCCAUUGCCCCCUUUCGCCCUGGUGUUACGCUGAUUUCGUUCCCCAGCUGGUGAGCCGCCUCUCCCCUGCUGGGCCCUUCUCCAGCAUCGCUUGAGAGCCUANNNNNNNNNNNNNNNNNNNNNNNNNNNNNNNNNNNNNNNNNNNNNNNNNNNNNNNNNNNNNNNNNNNNNNNNNNNNNNNNNNNNNNNNNNNNNNNNNNNNUCUCCAGCAUCGCUUGAGAGCCUAGCCUCCGCCUCUGGCUCCGAUGUCAGUUCCCUGACAGUAACCAAGUAGAACAAGCCUGUUUGAGUUCUUCAUACGGUUUCAAUUUUAAUUGUCCUUGUUCUUCUUUUAAAAGUUGUUUAUACGUAACUCCAAUUUUUCCAUGUUUUUCUUUUUAUUGAGAUAAUUUCAGAUUCAGUUGUUUUUGCCUCAUCUCCAAAAAGGCUAUAUUGUCCAACAUCUCUUCUUGUGUUUUAUUAAUUUCUAUGACCUCUCCUCCAACCCGUUCUGUCUCCCUCUUUGUCUCCUUCAAUUGUUUCUGUGUGCGUUUCAUUGAGUCUUCCACAGCCUUGGAUCUAACUGCAAGGUCUUUUACUUUGCCUGACAAUUCCCCCCCCAACUGCUUCUAGUUUUUUAUUUAAUGUUUCCUGUACCUCCAAUAAUUUUUUCUCCAUAUAUUGUUUAUUCUGUUUAAAUUCUUUCCUUAUUUCCACCAUUAAACUUUCCUAGUCUCUGUUUUUUUUUAAAAGAUAUUUAUUAGGAUUUUCAAAAUAUUACAAAAUAGAAAAAGAAAAAAGAAAAAUACAAAAUAAAAAUAGUUAAAAACAAAAUAGUCUUUCAAUCACUUAUCUUUCAUUUGCUUGUUUCCCAGACCUCCUCACGCCUCCCUUUUCUGUAUUCCACUUCAAUUGUUAGUUUAGCAAAUCCCUCCCCUCUUUGUUUAUCCUAGUCUUCGAUCUUAAAAUAUUGUAACAUUAAAUUUUUACCUAUUAAUAGUCCAUUUUUUCAUAUUCCCUUAUAAUAUUACAGCUAAAAACCACUUAGUUUCUAUCCAACAUCAUCCUAACAUUCAUCAAUUUUACAAUAUUUCUGUAAAUAGUCUUUGAACUUUUUCCAAUCUUCUUCCACCGACUCUUCUCCCUGGUCUCGGAUUCUGCUAGUCAUUUCCGCCAAUUCCAUAUAGUCCAUCACCUUCAUCUGCCAUUCUUCCAGAGUGGGUAGGUCUUGUGUCUUCCAAUACUUUGCAAUAAGUAUUCUUGCUGCUGUUGUGGCAUACAUAAAGAAAGUUCUAUCCUUCUUUAGCACCAAUUGGCCGACUAUGCCCAACAGAAAGGCCUCUGGUUUCUUUAGAAAGGUAUAUAUAAUACCUUUUUCAAUUCAUUAUAGAUCAUCUCCCAGAAAGCCUUAAUCUUUGGGCACGUCCACCAAAGGUGAAAGAAUGUACCUUCGUUUUCUUUACAUUUCCAACAUUUAUUAUCGGGCAAAUGGUAGAUUUUUGCAAGCUUGACUGGUGUCAUGUACCACCUGUAUAUCAUUUUCAUAAUAUUCUCUCUUAGGGCAUUGCAUGCCGUAAAUUUCAUACCUGUGGUCCACAACUGUUCCCAGUCAGCAAACAUAAUAUUAUGUCCAACAUCUUGUGCCCAUUUAAUCAUAGCAGAUUUCACUGUUUCAUCCUGAGUAUUCCAUUUCAACAGCAAGUUAUACAUCUUUGACAAAAUCUUAGUUUUGGGUUCUAACAGUUCUGUUUCUAGUUUUGAUUUUUCCACCUGGAAGCCAAUAUCUUAUCCAAAUUAUAUGCCUCCAUUAUCUGAUACAGUGGUGCCUCGCAAGACGAAAUUAAUUCGUUCUGCGAGUUUUUUCGUCUAGCGAAUUUUUCAUCUUGCGAAGCACGGUUUCCCAUAGGAAUGCAUUGAAAUUCAAUUAAUGCGUUCCUAUGGUCAAAAAAAGUCCAAUCAAAGCCAAAUUUGGUACAACAAUAGUUUAUUAACUGCUCUUUAAAGUCACACAUACUUUAAAGAGCAUAUCAAAAUUGAAGGAACAAUAAAUUAAGUUUCUAAACAUGACAGAAAAACAUUUAAAAAUCAACAAAGUGUACUGUACAUACAUUUUCUAAGACUCUGGGGACCACUCGAAGAAGGUUCCUCUUCCACUCUUUGCUUCUUGCUGAGGAACCUGUCCAUGGUCUGCUGCUUCAUCCGCCUUUUCAGCAGCUCCCUGAGAGGCAACAUGACCGUCGUAUCAAAAGUGUUCGCUUGGUCAUGUGCCACGUGCUUGUUAGGGUGGUGCCGCUCUGCAAAAGCCUGCACCUCCUUCCACUUCUGGCAAAUGUCCCUCAGUUCUUUGGAGGACGGCCGUUCCUCAGUUGCUUCCUCCUCUUCCAGCGAGGCCUGCUCCUGCGCAACCUCUGCCUGCAGUUCAACCAGCUCCUGGGUGGUCAGCUCGUGGUCGUGCUCCUCCACCAGCUCGCAGACGUCCUCCUCUGUGACCUCCAGGCCCAUGGUCCUCCCCAAGGCAACAAUGUCCUGCACCACUGUUGACUCUGGUGCAUCAGAGUCACUUGGUGCCACACAGUCCGGCCACAGGCUGCGCCAAGCGCAAUUCAAAUUUCUCUGGCUGAUCCCGUUCCAGGCCGUGGUGAUCAUCUUCAAGCAGGUGACGAUGUCGAAGUGGUCCUUCCAGAAUUCCCGCAGGGUGAUGGUGGUGCAAUCAGUCACCUCGAAGCAUCGCCUGAAAAGCUCCUUGGUGUAGAGUUUUUUGAAAUUGGCGAUGACCUGCUGAUCCAUCGGCUGGAGCAGUGGCGUGGUGUUAGGCGGCAGGAACAUGAUGUUGAUGAAGCUGAACUCCUCCAACAAGUCCACCUCAAGGCCUUUAGGAUGAGCAGGAGCAUUGUCCAUCAGAAGCAAAGCCUUCAGCGGCAGGUCGUUGUCCAGCAGGUACUGUUUGACAGCAGGGCCAAAAGCAAGAUUGACCCAGUCCACAAACAGCACACGUGUGACCCAAGCCUUGCUGUUGGAUCGCCACAUGACACUCAGCCGCUCCUUGUCGACCUUGUGUUUCUUGAAGGCCCGUGGGUUCUCCGAGUGGUACACCAGCAGGGGCUUGAUCUUCAGGUCGCCGCUUGCGUUGGCACAGAAGAGCAGGGUCAGGCGGUCCUUCAUGGGCUUGUGGCCAGGCAACUUGGCCUCCUCCUGUGUGAUGAAAGUCCUUUUGGGCAUCCUCUUCCAAAACAGCCCGGUCUCGUCGCAGUUGAAGACCUGCUGUGGAGCGUAGCCCUCUGUCUUCACAGCCUCCAGGAACUCCAAGGCAAAGUCUUCAGCCGCAGGAACAUCAGAACUGGCAGCCUCUCCAUGCCUGACCACGCUGUGGAUUCCAGAUCUUGCCUUGAACCGGUCAAACCAGCCUCUGCUUGCCUUGAAGACUUCUGGCUCGCCUGAGGUUCCUGGCUGUUCCCGGAUGAGGUCUGCGUGCAAGGCCUUGGCCUUCUCACAAAUGACGGCCUCAGUCACUGUGUCCCCUGCACGCUGCUUCUCUUCUAACCAGAUGAGCAGCAACUUCUCGACCUCCUCCAGAACAGCUGGGCGGUUCUUCACGAUCCUGGUGACUCCCUUGGCUGCAUCAGUCGCAAGGAUCUUCUCCCUCAUCUUCAGGAUGGUCCCGAUGGUCGAUGGGUUCCUGCCGUACUCCCUGGCGAGGUCCGUCACACGCAUUCCACCGUCGUGCUUCCAGAUGAUCUCCUUCUUCAUUUCCAGCGUCACCUUCUCCUUCUUCCUCUCGCCGGCCUCCGCAGCAGCAGCAGUCUUCUUGGGUCCCAUGGCAGCACAGCUCUUACCUUCGUAAACUCAGAAAAAAUAAAUAAAUCAGCAAUUCAAACCCACAACCAAGUCCUUGAAUUCCAAACACCCAACCCAAAAUCCAAAAACCCCAAAAAAAAGUUUUAAAAGUUUAACUUACGAAAUGGCUGCAAAUCACCAAAGUCUUCAAAAUCCUCAAAUGGCUGCAAAAGAAGUUUUGGGAAAGCUUUAAAAAUCACCAAAGUCUUCAAAAACCUCAACUGUUCCCCCAGCCCCUCCCCAACUGUUGCAAACCCCUCCCCAACUGUUGCAAACCCCUCCUCAACUGUUCCCCAUCCACCCAGCACACAGAAAUUCAAACCCAGAAUUUUUUCAAAAAACAACAACAUGGCCCAAUGGUCACAGAAAACCAUAAAAAUUCAAAAAAACACCACACAAGCUCCCAGAUUCUUGCAAACCCCUCCCCAGCUGUUCCCCCAGCCACCCAGCACACAGAAAUUCAAAACCCAGAAAUUUUUUUCAAAAAACAACAACAUGGCCCAAUGGUCACAGAAAACCAUAAAAAUUCAAAAAAACCCACACAAGCUUCCAGAUUCUUGCAAACCCCUCCCCAGCUGUUGACCCAGCCACCCAGCACACAGAAAUUCAAAACCCAGAAUUUUUUUUCAAAAAAAACCAACAUGGCCCAAUGGUCACAGAAAAUCAUAAAAAUGCAGAAAAAACCACACAAGCUCCCAGAUUCUUGCAAACCCCUCCUCAACUGUUCCCCCAUCCACCCAGCACACAGAAAUUCAAACCCAGAAUUUUUUUUCAAAAAAAAAAAAACAUGGCCCAAUGGUCACAGAAAAUCAUAAAAAUGCAGAAAAAAACCACACAAGCUCCCAGAUUCUUGCAAACCUCUCCCCAACACCAAGUCCUUGAAUUCUAAACACCCCAACCCAAAAUCCAAAAACCCUCAAAAAAGUUUUAAAAGUUUAACUUACCAAACAGCUGCAAAAGAAGUUUUGGAAAAGCUUCAAAAAUUCAGCAAACUCUUUAAAAAGCUCAAAAAGGCCACCACACCGCGUGCAAUGUGUUGCUCCUCGAAGUCAAGUCGCAACUGCACGUCUUCCAGCAAUGCACCCUGGGUAUUAACGGUUUUACGAAAAGGAAACAAACUUGCAAGACGUUUUCGUCUUGCGAAGCAAGCCCAUAGGGAAAUUCGUCUUGCGAAGCAACUCGAAAAUGAAAAAACCUUUCAUCUUGCGAGUUUUUCGUCUUGCGAGGCAUUCGUCUUGCGGGGCACCACUGUAAUAAUGAAGCCAGUCUCGCACUUUAUCUUUUAAUUUCUCAAAACUGCAAUUUCAAUUUAUCUCCUUCUUGUUCCAAAAUUUCCCAAUAUUUCGGCCAUUUGGCCUCCAUAUUGAGCCUUUUCUGAGCCUUUGCUUCCAUUAGUGACAACCACCUUGGGGUUUUAUUUUCAAGUAAGUCCUUAUAUCUUAUCCAGACAUUUAACAAUGCUUUCCUAACAAUAUGGUUUUUAAAUGCUUUAUGUGCUUUAACCUUGUCGUACCACAAAUAUGCAUGCCACCCAAAAACAUUAUUGAAACCUUCUGAAUCCAAAAUGUCUGUGUUCUCAAGAAGCAGCCAUUCUUUCAACCAGCAGAAUGCUGCUGAUUCAUAAUAAAGUUUGAAGUCUGGCAGGGCAAAUCCACCUCUGUCCUUUGCAUCAGUUAAUAUUUUAAAUUUUAUUCUGGGCUUCUUGCCCUGCCAGACAAAUCUAGAAAUAUCUCUCUGCCACUUCUUGAAACAGUCCAUUUUGUCCAAAAUUUGCAAUGAUUGAAACAAAAAUAACAUUCUUGGCAAUACAUUCAUCUUUAUAACAGCAAUUCGACCUAACAAGGAAAUCUUCAAGUUUGACCAUAUCUCUAGAUCCUUUUUCACUUCUGACCAACAUUUCUCAUAAUUGUCUUUAAAUAGGUUUAAGUUCUUGGCGGUCAUAUUAACCCCAGGUAUUUUACUUUCUUAACCAAUGUUAAACCUGUCUCCUUCUGAAACCUCUCUUUCUCAAUCGGUGUUAAAUUUUUCUCAAGCACCUUAGUUUUUAACUUGUUCAGCUUAAAUCCUGCCACAUGACCAAAUUCCUGAAUCAAUUCUAAUACUCUUUUAGUACUAGAUUCUGGCUCCUGUAACGUCAAUACUAAAUCAUCUGCAAAAGCUUUCAAUUUGUACUGUUUAGCUCCAACCUGUAUGCCUUUAAUCAGACGGUCCCUUCUGAUCAUAUUUAGCAAAACCUCCAGGACCGAAAUGAAAAGCAAUGGGGAAAUUGGGCAGCCUUAUCGUGUCCCUUUCUCUAUCUUAAAUUCCUCUGUCACCACAUUAUUAACUAUUAGUUUAGCCUUUUGUUCUGAGUAAAUUGCACUUAUACCAUUUUCAAACCCUUGACCAACCCCCAUCCCCUGAAGAUUUUUCUUCAUGAAACUCCAAGAAAUGUUGUCAAAGGCUUUCUCCGCGUCUACAAAAAUUAAGACAGCUUUAGUAUUAAUAUUCACUUGCAACAUCUCCAAAAUGUUAAUUAUAUUCCUCGUGUUAUCAGACAAGUGUCUACCCGGAGAAAGCCAGCUUGGUCUUUAUGUAUCUCCUCCACUAAUACUUUUUUAACCUUUUAGCCAAAAUAUCUGCAAAAAUUUUAUAAUCCACAUUAAGCAGGGAUAUGGGGCGGUAGUUCUUAAGUUGUGUCUUUUCAGACUCAUUUUUCGGUAUUAGUGUAAUAUAAGCUUCCUUCCACGACUCUGGCGCUUUUUUCCCCUCCAAAAUUUCAUUACAAACCUCCUUUAGUGGUUGAAUUAUCCAAUCUUUUAAGGACCUAUAAUAUUUUGAGGUUAAGCCAUCUGGCCCUGGAGAUUUGCCCAAUUGCAUGUUCUGGAUGGCACCUUCCACCUCCUGUUCUGUUAUUUUAUAGUUCAACAUUAACUUGUUUUCUUGAGAGAUUUUUGAAGUCCAUUUGUUUUUUAAAAUUGGUCUAAAUCACACUCUUUCUGUGGCCCUUGUGUAUAUAGCUGUUUAAAGUACCUCUGGAAGCAUUUUCUAAUUUCCACUGGAUUCUGGAUGUUCUUUCCUUCCACUUCCAAGUUAGUAAUGGUGUUAAGUUUUUGUCUUUUUUUCAUUUGCCAAGCUAACAGUUUUCCACAUUUAUUGGCCGAUUCAAAUGUCCUUUGUCUCAUCUGUUUAAUUUUCCAUUCUAUUUCCUGAUUCAUCAUCUUCAUAUAUUGAACUUGGUAUAACUUUAUUUCUCUCAGAAUCUCUUGUGACUUUGGUUUCGCUCUCAGUUUCUUCUCACCCUCUUUUAUUUUUUCUAAGAUUUUAUCUUUUUUCUCAUUUUGGGUUCUCUUCUUUAUUGCAUUCUGCUGAAUUAGAAACCCCCUCAUAACUGCUUUGCUUGCGUCCCAGAUUACUCUUUUUUCGAUGGUAGUGUUCAUAUUUAUCUCAAAAUAGUCUCUCAAUGUUUUUUGGGCCUUCUUGAUAACUUCUUGAUCUCUAAACAAGGUGUCAUUCAUCCUCCAUCUGAAGGAACCGGUAGGUGUUAAUUUCAUCUCCAUUUUCACAGCAUUGUGGUCGGAGCAAGUUUUAGGACAAAUUUCCACUUUUCGAGGCUUAGGUGCCAGUCCUCUAGUUAUCCAGAUUUGGUCAAUAAACUUUCCUAGUCUCUGAUCUCCUUCCCCUCCUUCCCAUUCUCCUGCCUAGAGGGAUGUCUUUCCCCUGGGGUGGCUAUUCCCUUUUCCUCAUUUUUCCCAGACAUGAUGUUUAUUUUGCCCCAAAAUACUGCUUGGGUCUUAAAUUGUCCUGUGUAAUUUUUCUGACAACCUCCAGGGGUCUGACAACCUCCAGAAAGUCCAAUCUUUCUGUUUUUAGGUCAAAUUCCCUCCCGUCCCACACAAUGGCAGCAAACACAGAAAUGACCUUUCCUUCAGUACAGUUACUUUCGUUUUCUUUGUCUAUUACACCGUCGCGUCCAAAGAAAGCUCACAGGAAACAAAGAGCAGAAAAACCAAACUACUGUAUAUGAGGAAUAAUAAUAAUAAUAACAAUAAUAAUAAAUAAGAAUAAUAAAUUUUAUUUAUACCCCACCCUCCCCAGUCAAGGCCGGGCUCAGGGCGGCGAACAGCCAAUAAUAAAAGCAAGUUGAAUGAAUACAACUGAAAAAAACAAGAUAUAAAUACAUUAAAACAUUAAAAGGAAGAUAUUUGUAAUCCAAUUUGCAUUCUUCUUCCUUUUCUGCCGCUUGUCGGCUUAAUCCACUGGUGACCUCUGAAAAGCGCCACAAACUCCAGCAACAAUAACGAACAGGGUUUCCAAUGUCUUUCUCCUCACGAAACGAUGCUGGUAAGGCGGUGAAUUUUAUAAGUCCCAGCGCCAAAAUCUCCUUCUCCAACACUGUCUUAAAAUCCCCCAACAAAGUCCGCUGAUCGGCUUAGUCCACUGGAAGCCUCAAGAAAACGCCACGUACUCCAAAAGCAAUCAGGAACGGGGUUUCCAGGGUCUUCCUCCUCAUGAAGUAAUUCCUUGCUCCUCCUGCAACCUUCCGCCAUAUGCCGUCUUCUCCCAGCUGCCGGGACGGACUCCCUUUCUGCGCCGCACUCAUUCAAUUUCUUCUACAGUGAUGUCCUCUGGAAGAGAAUGAAAAAGAGAGACUGAAUUAACAGCCUCUCUCAACGCCUGCCAAACAAUACCCAACCCAAGGGUCCAACCACCUCAGCUUUUGUAGCUGGAGUCAGUCAGGGCCCUGCCUACUGAGGUGAAGUGAAAAAGGCCUGCAAGGCACAUCAAGAAGGCCUGGGAGAUCUUUCUCAGGAAUGAACCAUAACACUACUAAGUGAAAAGUCCCCAGGGUGUGGAGAUUAGUUUACCUUCCUUAGGCACUGGCCGAACGCGGGACCGGUGUCAUUGGGCUAUUGCCUUCUGCAGAGGAAAGAGAAAGCUGGAUGAGAUGCCUUAUGUGAAACUACAAAACCCACCAUUGACAGGUGCAAGGGAGCCCACAAGCAGGCCCAAGCCAGGAAAGACUGGCCUCCCUCAGGCUUGGGCCCAAUCCCUUGCCCCCGAGGACCUCCAUGGGCCCUGCAGCCUCCUGGGCAGAGGUGGAAGGGCAGCACCAGGGAAGAGGGCAGGACAUGCCUCUGGCAUCAUCCUGACACCCCAAGAACCCAUGCCACCUGCAGUUCCGUCUGCAGGUGAAUCUUCUCUUUUGGAGUUCAUGUUUUUAUAUCAGUUCAUUCUUCAUUCAGCCCCAUUUCCAAAGGGAGACAAUCCCAACGUCCCUUGAAAUGCAGGAGAAGACGCCCAAGUCUAGGGGUGUCCAUAGCACAGGAUUAGACAAUCUGCUUUGCCUUAUCACCAUCCUCAGAUAAUCCUGGAUGACAUCUCCAGGUGGGGCAGAGAAUGUUCCCUGUCUGAAACCCAGAAGAGAUGCUGUCGGUCAGUGUAGACGACGCUGAGGUGGAUGGGUCAAUGCCUGACACUGUCCAAGACAGUUUCCUAUGAAUAUUCCUCUUAAGUCAUUUACCCUGAAGACAAGCAAGCUAACUUCUCCACAAGACCAACAAUCAAUUUCUCCAUUUAGAAGGCAAUAUGGAAAAGUCCCAGUUUUAUAUACAACAAUGCAAGUACAAAAAUCUUGAAUAUGAGAGGAAGCAAUAUUCUGGACUCUGUAAUGAAGCAAUAGGCAAAGGGUCCUGAAGCAGAGCAAGUUGGGGGGGGGCAUCUGUCAGGGACUCUUCAGCUGUGAUUCCUGCAUUGCAGGGGGUUGGGCUAGAUGGCCUUUGGUGUGGCCCCCAGUUCCACGAGUCUGUAAUUCUAGGUUUGUACUCUGUACUGGGUCCUGUUAUAUUUAGGCACCAUCUCUUUUCUAUAUGCCUGCUUCAGUCCUUGGAGACCUAGUUCAUUCACCCUUCAAAAGCACGUCUUUAAUGUGGUACCUUGUCAAAGGUGCACACCUCAUUCCUGGCAUCUAUCUGCCCUGUGCACACUACAAACACAUUUGUACUACAAACAACAACAAAAACAGAAACAAACAGCAAACCACCAAUCCUGCAUUGAACAUAUAUAUAAUUUUCAUUAAAUUUUCUGUUUUGCAAUUUAGAAUAUUCAUUUAAACAACCUUAAAAUAGCAAUGACUUCCGUUCUUUUCUUUCCAUGGUUCAUUUUACAUAACAUAAAUCCUUGCAUAUUUUACAUAAACGAAACCAUUCAGUAUUUUUUUAUUGCAUCCAUCAAAACUUAUUUACACUGUUGAAUUGAUCUUAAUCCUGCCAGCUGUGCACAGUUAUUUAUCUUAAUCCUUUCAGUUGUGCACAGUUAUUUCCCAUAUAUUCAAUAAACGUUUUCCAAUCUCUAAACGUAUGUUCUUCUCGUUCUCUUAUGUUAAGUCUGCAAGCUGCGCAUAUUCUGUUAACUUAAGUUGCCAUUCUUCUUUGGUUGGGACCUCACUCGUUUUCCAUUUUGGGGCUAACAAAACACGCGCCACAGUAGUGGCAUACAUAAAUAACCUCUUUUGACACCUGGGAAUUUCAGUCUGAAUUCUCCCCAACAGAAAGGACUCUUUGUUUUUUGGGGGAAGUACUUUUGAACAUUUUUUUCAAUUCAUUAUGUAUCAUUUCCCAAUAUUCUCUUACACCUUUACAAGUCAACCACAUAUGAAAGAAUGUUCCCUCAACCUUUUUGCAUCUCCAGCACUUAUCUAAUUCAGACUUAUACAUCUUAGCAAGCCUACUCGGAGUUAAAUACCGUCUGUACAUUAUUUUCAAGUAGUUCUCCUUAAAAGAAUAGCAUGCUAUUAACUUCAAAUCACUUUUCCGGAGCUUUUCCCAGAGGUUAAAAAUCAAUAUUGUGACCUAUAUCUAUUGCCCAGUGUGUCAUUGAGGCUUUAACAAACUCAUCUUUUGUUUCCCAAUCUUAUAACAGAUUCUACAUUUUGGAGAAAAGUUACUCAUUGUUUUGUAAUAGUUCUUUUGAAUUGUGAGCUUUGGUCCAGAAAACCAUUUUUUAAUUUAAACAUUUUAUGUAACUGAUGGUAUUGUAACCAAUCCAUGACAUGGCUCUGUACAUUUUGAAUGUGUUAUAAACAUGCAAUGCCAGAUGGCACUGGAGAGCAAAUGAAUUUUCUAUGCAAUUUGUCCAUAGCGAUAUUUUCUUUUCUUAUAACCAUUUAAUUUAUUAUCUAUAGCGGGGCGUUUCCUGUGUGUAGAUCCAUCCCUAGUCUCGCAUUCUGCACUAACUUCCGCUUCUGGAUCAAGCACAAGGGAAGCCCCAUAUAGACUGCAUGGCAGUAGUCCAGUCCUAAUGAGUUGUAAUGGUUUUUUUGGGGGGGGGUUGUGAUUUUAUUAAUUUCUUGUAACCAACCUUGGAAGGAUUUGUAUCCUGAAAGGCGUGGUGAUGGCGAUGGAAGAUAAAUGAGAGAAGACAGGAUGGCAGCUGAACUUGCAUCCUUCUAAUUAAAAGGUUUUUGAUUGUGAUGGAUGGAAAACAGUUGGCAAUUUCAUAGCGAUGCCUCUUAUCAGAAAGGUGCCGGGAGGAAGAUCUGUUCAUGUUCUAUCAGCAGUGCUGCAGCUUCCGAGACAGAAAAAUUUGCCAUGCCAUAUGUAUAAUCAAAUGUGGCAUCUGCCUCUGUGUGUGUGUGUGUGUAGCUGGUUCACCUCAGCAAGAGAGAGGAAAGGCAUAUUGUAUUCUUCUCGUUAUGAAAGCAAUGCCUUUAUUAUUAAGGUCAAAAAGCAGAAUCUUGGAGACAACUGUGCAAUAGCUAUUUCAGUCCGUCAGUGCCUAAAUGAAUUGCUUCAGAUUAAUUACCCUGAAAGCAAGCCAUUGGUUGUUUUAAGAGCCAGAACGUUUCGUGUCUGCGGUAGGGCCUGAAGUGGGCUAAAAAAAAUUGCUACAAUUUUUCCUCAUUUGUGAUAUAACGGGGGGUUUUUUAAUAGAAAAAAAUGACUGAGGAGAAGCAGCCUUGACCCCGUACAAGUGGUAGUCAAGAGAAACCUUACGUGUUCAAGUGUUUAAUGCAUGCAGGAAAUGUAUGCUCAAAACUGUAAGUGUAUGGGAGGCAAGUGCAUCUUCCGAAAUACAAGUGGGGCCUACAACAAAAUGUUGCAGCGUGAAGUGUUUCUGUUGAGGUUUCCACCCACUCUGUUCCAUUGUCCCUCCUGCCCAACUUUCUGUGUCCCCCUCUCCUUCAUCAGUCAGUCAGUAUUCCAUGGCCACUAAACCCACAUGGUCUUCACUGAGGUAUUGGCAAUGGACGGCAUUGAGGUAUUUAGGGUUUUUCCUCUUAAAAAUAUGUACUUCCUUCUACCUUUGGGUCCUCUUAACCCUGAUGAUACUCCCCUUGUGGUGCUGUUUUAGCAAUUACAUUUAAUUCCUGUACUUUAGGAUUAGAUAGAAUCACACUGCUAGAGGUCCUCAGUUCCUCAGAGAAUUCUGUUGUUUUUUCCUAUCAGAGACGGCCAGCUGUUUUAUUUUAUGUAGUGCAGCUAGGAAAUGGAUGAAUCGGUCCAUUUCAGUUCUCUACGUUUCUCAUUCUUCCAAUCUUCAACUUGCUUACAGUCUGCAGCAAUUUCUGAUUUGCUUUUUUAACCCUCAUGAAGAUUCGUUACCAUUUUGGUGCAAAUUUCUCCUAAUGAGCUCUUCUGUAUAUGCAGUUAGGCCAACACACAUAUUCCUGCCAGCAAUUGCCCAUAAUGUACACCCUGUAUUCUAUUUUCACAAAUAUAUGCAUUACACACACACUUUAACCUAGUAUAUGCAUUUUUCUUUUUCCUUUUUUUUAAAAAAUGCAUUUUUAUACAUUGGCUGGAGAUCAGCAUUGCAAAAUUCAGAAAAAUGUGAAUUUCGAAAGAAGGCUGAAUUCUGGUUCGCACUUUGUUUCUAAAAGCCCAAAUGAAGGAAGUCUUCCUUAAAGUACAAACUGAAUUGCAAUUCUCCUCCAUCCCCUUAAUGCAGGGCCUUCUCGGUAGUGGCACCCGCCCUGUGGAAUGCCCUCCCAUCAGAUGUCAAAGAAAUAAACAACUAUCUGACUUUUAGAAGGCAGCCGUGCUUAGGGAAGUUUUUCAUAUUUGAUGAAUUACUGUAUUUUAAUCUUUUGUUGGAAGCCACCUAGAAUGGCUGGGGAAUAAAUUAUUAUUAUAAGUAGUAGUAGUACUCUCUGCCUACCAAGGGCAGCCCACCCAUAAGGUUACUCAGAAGGCAGGAUCCACAGGGGCAGCAGAUCUGGCCGCUGGUAAAUGCAUUGCCCACUGUUGCCACUACAGUGGCAGCAACAACUGGGGUGGUCUCCUUGGAGGCUGGAUCUGCCUCUUCCUCAGAAGCCCCUCCAAUGCUACCUUUACAGCGACCUCUUGGUGAAUAGGAGGCUGUUCUCCUCCCACCUUUGUUCCCAAGGUAGAUCUUUAUUCCCUCCUUGUUCUUGAUGUAGUGUCAGGCUUUGGGGAAUCAGCUUCCUCCCCCCGUGGCAGUAGAUAAGAGAUCAAAUGAAAGGAAUAUCUUACCAGUUAGAAUCUUUAAUAAUCACAGCAAGAGAACAAAGAACACGUCAUCUAGAAAUGGCGGUGCUCCCAAUUAAGGGUUACCCGCCCACGUCCCUGUUAAUCUACAUCACUCCUAUGUCUUGUAAUCUAAGUUUGUAACCUCUGCGCUUUUUCUUCUGACACUUUCUGAGCUCGCCGUGACUUGGGGGGGGGGCGCGAGUGCUGUCCAGAGACUGUGAAUCUGUUAACUCUCUCUCUUCCCGUGUUUCUUCUCCUAGCUGUUCCCCACCCAGUAUUUCCCAGCUUCUGCCUUCUGAACUAUGCCCCUCUGCAAACCACCGUUCCAAAUCUAUACUGUCCUCCUGCUCCUGGGAAGAUUCAGGAUCAGGAUCGGGGGGUGGCUCCCACCAUUCUUCCUCAGUGCAGCCCUCCUCAGCAGGACAUGUAGCUCUUCACUCACCCCUUCAUCCCCGGUGAGAGGGAUGCCACUUUGUGUUUUGCCUCGGGUGCCAAAUUGCCUUGGGCCUGCACACCCUCUUGAUUUCUGUAGUGUUGUGGUUCCCUUCCCUUAUCCUCACCCUUCUCUCUCCCAGCUCCCUGCUGGACCUGCAAACCCACAAUCUGCUUCUUUACCCUUUACUGUACUUUUAUUUUCCCUUGAAAUCCUUCAAUUUUACCUCCUAGAUUGUCCAUUUUGCUUUCUGUGUCCCAGAAAGCCUUCUCUAACCAUCUUUUCCAACUCUCGCCUUCUAGAGCCGUAGGACCUCUACCUGAUGCUGUCCUAUCCGAGGUCACACAAUACAUUUAGAGCACAUGGCCUUACCCCAAAGAAUGUUGGGGACUGUAGUUUCUCCCUCACAGAGCCACAAUCCCCACCCCUUUAACAAACUACAGUUAUGUAAAGCCAUGUGCUUUACAUAAAUGGUUUGCGUGUGGUCCUACUCUUUACAAAGAUGCUAUGUACCAGCAUCUGCUGAACUCUCCAUCCUGCCAUCAUCUCGCUGUACCACUUUUGGUCCACCUGCAUCUCCAUCCACUUGGGACAGAAGAGAAAGCAGCAGCAUCUUCUGCAUCUACCUAACAGUUAGAAGCAGAGGAACAAUCAGUGCCUUGGCAUGCAAGAGGCUGAGCUCUGUUGCACAUGCAGAUCUUUGAAAUAUGUGGUUGUGCGAAGAAACCUAUUGCUAGCUGUGGAGAGAAACAACAGCGUUCCAUUCUCUCCAAAAGCUGGCAACUUUCCCAAACUGCAGGGAUCCUCAGCAAGAAUAUCAAUAAUGGCAGGCAAGCUCGCCUGGAAGCAGCAGAGCUGCCCCGAGACAUUUUGCUGCCUGAAUCAAGGUGCAUAUUAUCUAAAGCAGGCAUCUCAAAACUCGGCCAUCCAGCUGUUUGGGGACUACAACUACCAUCAUCCCUAGCUAACAGGACCGGUGGUCAGGGAUGAUGGGAAUUGUAGUCCCAAAACAGCUGGAGGGCCGAGUUUGGGGAUGCCUGAUCUAAAGCAAUUCAAGUAAUUCUGGCCACUGAGGCAGGAGAUCCCACAGCCCCUCUUCCUUCAGUAAAAAUAAAACAACAAUAAGUUAAAUUUUCAACAAGUCGCUGUCCUUUCAUGGAACCCUGAAUCACAGCCUGCCUAAUGGUAGGGCCGUCCCUAUAAAAGUUGGUCAAACGCUGCUGAUCUUCUCCUGGAAUGCACAGAAGGAUGUUGAGAGUUUAUGGAACUGGGGAAGAGAUUCAAUUCAGUUUGUAUUUCACGGAGAAUCUUUCAAAUCCACAGUUUCCAAAACUAGAUGAGAACCUGAACUCGGCCAUCCUUUGGAAUUCACUCUUCUCCACAUUUUGAAAUGCAGUUCUCUGAUCAAACAAGGUUUGCAAAAAUACACGUAUUAAGAAAAGUGUGCAUUCCAAUGGAUCUGUUAGGAACAACAACAUCAUACAACAAUGCCAUCUGUUUAGGGAAACUGUUUGCAAAAUAUGGACAUAGGUUGAAAUAGCAGACAAAACCAUGUUUAUUAGGGUAAAUUUGCACUAAAAUGCAGAUGAAUUUAUAUGAGGAAUUUUUAUUUUUUUAAAAAAAACUGCAAUUUGCUGUAGAAAUGUGGAGAACUAAAUUUAAGAUUUGGAAAAAUGAGAAAAUAAGAAACCCCAAAUUGGCAGGUCCGUCUGUCCCUAACUGGGAUUCACUUAUGGUUCACCUUGGGGCUACAGUGAAGCCAAAAUGGCCCACUCAGCACCUGAAUUUGGAAAAGAUAUGUAGAACAUUCCUCAAAACGCUAUGCAAUAUUCAGGAAUUCUGUGGCAGAUGAACAGGAGCUCCUUAGCAGACAAAUGAGUCCGGAAAAAGAAAGAGACCACUGUUGUAAAUAGCGUGUUCCUUCUUGUGGUUUAACCGUAGCAUCAUCAUUAAAUAUUUUAUACACUGCCGUCAUACGUCAUGUACAAAUGGCCACUCUUUUUUCCAAUUUAAUAUCGUCGCCACGGUAAAUCAAUCUUGACAAGUUUUCUUCAGCUCGGAGGAGAUAUAUGGCUCUCAUAUGUAUUUUUGGAAACUACCAAUUACAGCUUGACAGAAGCAGACAGCCUUCCCUCACCGCAGACUGCUGACCAAAAAGCUGCAAGGUUCAGGAGGCAAAAAGAAUAUUGAACACUUUAAAUUGGUUUUGAACUCGGAGCACGUUGAAUGGCUUUGUGCUGACAUGGCGAGGUCAAAAGGUGUCACGGUCUCUCAAUAACUGUGUUCAGAUUCUUCCAUCUUAGCUCGCGGAAACACAAUAAAUCACCUGAAUAUAAGAAAAAAACAACCACCUCAAAAGCCUUUUAGUACAGAAUCGGCAAAUAAGCAGGAACCUACUGAAUCAGUAUCAUUGUGGUCAGAAAAAGAGAGGGAAAAAACCUUUUCCAUUCAUUGUGGUUUGCUAAGUUUUUUAUUUGAAUUCAAUGAACUCAAAUAACAAAAUGUGAUUAUUUUUAAGCAUUCUUGCUGUGCUUCAGUUUUACUUUAAUAUCCUUGUUGCUUUGCCAUCCUCGCUGUGCUCUUCCUGACAACAAGCCUGGAAUAUAGAUCACUGUUAUUGCAAUGCCAGACAGCUGACACUGAAAGAUGGGGAUUUGCUAGGUAUGUUGAGCUUGAACCUGUUGAUGCAAGGGAAAAAAUAGGUAUAUAGAAAGGAGAAAUUCUGGAUGCCCAGAUCCAAGUUUGGAACAAAUACUCUUUGGUGAGAGAACGCCAGCACAGAUUUAAAAUCACAAAAUAUGCAACAAAGUAGAAGGUGGAACUAUAGGCUGGUAGACCUUUAAAAUAUGCAUUUCCAAGUGAGUUCCAAAAUAGUCCCCUCUUCCCCAAGCAUAGGGGGGGACAGACCCAGAUUUAGUACAUUAAAAGUGGUUUACUAACAAACUCUCCAAAGGUCAGGUUCAUGUGCUUUUCCAUAUAUCAGUCAGAAAGGUUGCACAGGCAGGUAGUAAAACUUAGCAUGUUCCAAAGUGGUGAAAGUUCCUAAAUUAUUGGUACAGUGGUACCUCGGGUUAAGUACUUAAUUCAUUCCGGAGGUCCGUACUUAACCUGAAACUGUUCUUAACCUGAAGCACCACUUUAGCUAAUGGGGCCUCCUGCUGCUGCCACACCGCCGGACCACAAUUUCUGUUCUCAUCCUGAAGCAAAGUUCUUAACCUGAAGCACUGUUUCUGGGUUAACGGAGUCUAUAACCUGAAGUGUAUGUAACCCAAGGUACCACUGUAUAGGAAUACAAAAAUGGCUAGUGUGAGACAUUCGGCUAAACUGGAGCAACCAGCUUAGCCUCUCCACAUGCUAAAUUUAUCAAGUAGACUGAAAGGGGGACAAAUGCUCGAUUACCUAGUUCCCUCUCAAGGUGCAUGGGAGUGGAUUUAGCUAAGCCUGUUCAGACAGCUUACUCUAUGGUAUUAACCCCUUCAUGUAUUAAUUAGAAGUAAGUGUGUUGGUUAUAUGAGGCUGGGUAUCCCACAGAAACCCCCCCCCCGAUGGAAAACACAGAGAGACAUUAAUCUACUGGAAUGCAGUUUAGUGUGGUUAGCUUAUCUGCCCCCAAGAAGCUGCUAUUGAAUGAAUGUAUAAUAACAUAGGAAGCAAGUAUUAGCGACUUUACUAGACUACUCUGGCAAAAUAUUGCAUAGCUGCCCAAAGGCAACAUAGCAACCAUCCCAGGCGUAUCAAAGAGGAAAUAUUCUAAGGGACAACAAAACAAGCCUUGAGCAGAUGUUCAGCAAAGGGGGAGAUAAAUUGGGCUGAUUUUGAGAUAUCUGAAAGCAUCUUUCUUGAGAGAUCUGUGCAGAAGGAGCAGGAAGUACAGAAGCAGCGGGGUGAGAACAGAAUGCGACUCGGCAUUAUUUUAAUGAGCCAUGAACACCCCCCCCCCAACCCUUUUGUUUCCUUAGUUAUGGUGCUCAUAAGAAUUAUGAAUUAUUAGCAGCAUAGAUUUUAUUGUUGCUUUCAGCUGGAAGGAUGCUGCAGUGUGAUCUAUAAACAAAACCAUCUGGCCUCCAUAAAAAUGUGCAUUAAAUUAAAAUGGGAUUGAGAAACUAAUGGGAUUACUCUUCCGCGUACUGAUAUUUGGUAUCACAACAAACACUUGUGUGCAUUAACAAGAGGAAGUCCUGACUCACUUGUGUAUUUAAUUUAAUGCCCUAAAACAUGGGUAGGCAAACUAAGGUCCGGGGCCUGAUCCGGCCCAAUCACCUUCUAAAUCCGGCCUGCGGACGAUCCGGGAAUCAGAAUGUUUUUACAUGAGUAGAAUGUGUCCUUUUAUUUAAAAUGCAUCUCUGGGUUAUUUGUGGGGCAUAGGAAUUAUUCAUAGAUAUUUUUCAAAAUAUAGUCCGGCCCCCCGCAAGGUCUGAGGGACAGUGGACCGGCUCCCUGCUGAAAAAUUUUGCUGACCUCUGCCCUGAUACAUUCACAACCUUAAAGAAUAUGAGCCCUGCACUAAAGAAAUGAAGGGAAAGACUGGGAGCAUGUGAACUUUACAUGACACUCCAGAAAACAGAGAGAAAUAAAGGGUUUAUCCACACUUCCUCUUCUCCCAAUGCUUUCACUUGGAAAGCUCAAUUGGAGCAAACAGCAAUUUGGGUUUUCCAUGGAUUAUCCUUUGUUCCGAUUUAAAGCUAAAGAGCAGGUUUUCCCUGGGAAAGGAGUGGGACAAGGGGAAAACCCACUCUAAAGGUUUACCUAUCCAUAGCCCAGUGCAGAGGGGACGCGGGUGGCGCUGUGGGUUAAACCACAGAGCCUAGGACUUGCUGAUCAGAAGGUCGGCGGUUCGAAUCCCCGCGACGGGGUGAGCUCCCAUUGCUCAGUCCCUGCUCCUGCCAACCUAGCAGUUCGAAAGCACAUCAAAGUGCAAGUAGAUAAAUAGGUACCGCUCCGGCGGGAAGGUCAACGGUGUUUCUGUGCACUGCUCUGGUUCGCCAGAAGCGGCUUAGUCAUGCUGGCCACAUGACCUGGAAGCUGUAUGCCGGCUCCCUCGGCCAAUAAAGCGAGAUGAGCACCGCAACCCCAGAGUCAGUCACGACUGGACCUAAUGGUCAGGGGUCCCUUUACCUUUACCUUUAGCCCAGUGCAGCUGUUAAUUGGUAAGGACACAAUGAGUGUGUAUUUUGAAGCCAGAAGCAGAAGGAUAGGUCAGGAACCCUAUGCCUAAGACGGGGUUGACAACCUGGCGCCCUCAGGCACCAGAAAGGCUUUUCUGAUAUCCCUGGGUAGGUGCCCCAGACUCUUAAGCUUUAUUUUUUUUAAAAAAAAGUCUCUAGCCCUCCUAGAAAGAAAGUUGCAGGGAGAAAUGUGCAGUUAUGUUCUAGAUGAUUUCUGUGAAGUGAGUGUGAUUUGCCACCUUGUAGAUAUUUCCUGGAAUUGUGGGGUGUUGUUCCCUGCUGCUAUUAUACAGCAACUCUCUCUCUCUCUCUGUGUGUGUGUGUGUGUGUGUGUGAGAGAGAGAGAGAGAGAGAGAGAGAGAUUUAGUGUAGAAAGGAAAAUCUGAAAACUACCUUGCCUUGGGUUUAUAUAAGCAUUGCCUGUUAUCCAUCUCGUCUCUAUUUCACUUUAGCUGAAGACUUAAAAUGGGGGUAGGGGUGGAAUGUAUUAGGAAUACCGAAGGGCCUUAUCUUGUGUGUGUGUUGCUGUUUUGUGCCCAGUCCCUAUGAAUCGACACAUCUAAUUAGCUGACAAUGCGAACUGUCUCUGUGGGCUUUGCAUCAGUGCAUGUUGUGUGCAAUGUUUUAUUCAGACACUAAAUGCUUCCCCCAUGGACCAUUGAACAAGUGCAGAUAAUGAGACCUCUGCUUUAUAGGGCCGCUUUAAAAUGUCUGCCUAGUAAACCAGGACAGGAAGAAUAAUGCCGAACUGUGGGAAUUGCGGGGCUUACGGCAACCAGAAGACAAUUUAUGGUUCUUUUUAAAUAUAUAAACAAAUAGUUUGUGUACAGAUAAACAGGGCCACCUGAUCCAUACAAGAUAGCAGAGAUGAAAGACUCUGUCUUAAAAGAGUUUUGCUAAAAAGUAAUGUGAGUCACGCAGUUAGGUAAUUUUAGACUCUGGACUUAAUGCAUAAUCUCCAACAUUUCUCUGAUGAAAACAGGGGCAUCCUACUCUGUUGUUGUUGUUGUUGUUUUACCCCAUCUAUCUGACUGGGUUGCUUCAGCCAUUCUGGGUGGCUUCCAAAACAUUAAACAUUAAAAAAACUCCCCUAUACAGGACUGCCUUCAGAUGUCUUCUCAAGGUUGUAUAGUUACUUAUCUCCUUGGCUUGGGGGUUUGCAUGACUCCAUAGCCUCCAACAUUUCUCUGAUGAAAAUAGGGACGUCGUAAGGAAAAGCAGGACAUCCCAGGAUCAAAUCGAAAACCAAGACGGCUUCUGUAAAUCUGGGACUUCUGUAAACCUGGAAAAUAGGGACACUUGGAGGGUCCAUUAAUAGUCUUAUAUGGGGCUCCCUCUUUAGUUGAUAAUGUGUAUUACUCCAAAAUGUAUUAAGGUUACUGUGCUGAGUUUGGGAGCCUUUCUGCUGAGUUGGGGCUUGGACUUCUGCUGCAAAGUUCUGCCCUGAUGACAGCACCACUCAGUGAAACAAUGGUUCUUGUUGUUGUUUAAUAUAUAUGGGGAAGGAAACCUUUGGCCCUCCAGAUGCUGUUGGACUCCAAAUCCCAUCAGCGCCAGCCAGCAAAGCCAACAGUCCAGGACGAUGGGAGUCGGGAGUCCAGCAACGUCUGGGGGUCCACAGUUCCUCCAUCACUGCAUUUUUGCACAUGGCCAUUUCUCAUCAAAUCAGUAUACAGUGGUACCUCAGGUUAAGUACUUAAUUCGUUCCGGAGGUCCGUACUUAACCCGAAACUGUUCUUAACCUGAAGCACCACUUUAGCUAAUGGGGCCUCCUGCUGCCGCCACACCGCCGGAGCACGAUUUCUGUUCUCAUCCUGAAGCAAAGUUCUUAACCUGAAGCACUAUUUCUGGAUUAGCGGAGUCUGUAACCUGAAGCAUAUGUAACCUGAAGCGUAUGUAACCUGAGGUACCACUGUACAUAACUAACUACAAAGCAGCUUGCAGACUGUUGCUCUUUUCAGGUGGAAUUCAAUCACGUGCCAACAAAUUCAGGCUGUGUAGUUUAUAGCUGAAUGGAGGGUCUUGCACACGUGUGCAAGCACCCAAAGUUUAUACACUGCCUACUUAUUUCAAAAUGUUGCUAUGUCCAAUGACCUAUCUUCUGGGAUUUAUAUCUGUAUUUCAAACUAUUUACAAACGCAGAGUGAAAGAGACAGAAUGCUGUAUCCAAAAGACAGCAGCCGGAGGUAGCUUCCUACUUACCUUGAGGUAACUACUGAAGAAAUGCCUGGAUGACGUUCUGCUUACCCGGCAGUAAAUGGGCAAUCGCCCCAUGGAAGCAAGACAUCCCGUGUGUCAGAACACAUUGAUGUUUUUGAGAUUUGAUCAUGUCCCUGAUUUUUUUUUCCUGAAAAUGCAGCACUCUAAAGAGGCUAUUUUGGUUUUUUUCAUCUGAAACCAAUUGCAAACCAAGAAUUAGGCAUAAUCAGUCUUGAGUUGGGCAGCUCCUUUGAUGAAAUCAGGAUGAAACAGUCCAAUAAUAUAUAUAUAUUUUAAAAUCUCUUGCUCCACUUAUUCACAGCCAUUCCAUAUGGCGUACUUUGGGGGAUAUCAUGCCUUCUUGCACAUCUUAGCUAGUAAAAGAGUAGAUCUUUCUUAUUACCCCUUGCGUUUGGAAUCUUUCAACUAACAUUUUCAUCGAUAGUAUUCGUAUCAAAGGGGAAAGUAUUUGACAGACAGCUGUUCCUGAACUUUGAUUUAUUUAACUUUUCCCAGAGACAUCUUCCCCUCUCCACACAAUUUUCUGUUCAUCCUUUGAGUCAGUCAGUCAGUCAAGAAAUAGUUUCAUUAUUCAAGUCCUCUUUCUACUCUCGUUUCACUGUACUACUCUGGGUCAUAGCUGUCCUUCUAAUUAUCUUCAGGAAUAGAUGUGACUGAUGUAUAUAGUGCAUUUGGAUGUUUUCUGUUCGCUAAAUAAUUAAGCCUUUUUCACUUGCUUACGGAACCGUACUAUAGCUUGCAUAUAUAUAUAUGGGAUGCUGCAUAUAAAUUCUCCCUUAACAUUGCAUGCGUGCUGGAGAAAUGUCCUCUGCAAAAAGAAAUGUAUUUUAACAAGCUAGCAGAGUUUUAAAUCACAGGUGGUCCCCAGAUAUCAGAAGGAAAGAAAAAAGGCCCGGUUCAAAGCAUCAAGGUUUUUGUUUCUUUCCAUUUGCUUUUUUGCCUUAAAAAAAAUCAACGACAAAUCCUUUCCGGGCAGAGCUUUGAAACAAAACAAAAAAAGCUUUUUUUGAGACUUUCAACCUUGUGAGCCAGGCAGAAACAACUAAUCAUAUGAUUUGAAGUGCCCUCCACAGAUGUAACCAGAGGCGAGGACCCACUUCUUGUACAAACCUUCUGCCCAGCAUUGAAAAUAAGAUUUAUAAAUAAGAUUUAUUUUGCCUCCUAGCAGAUCUGAUUCCCCAAGGACCAUAAUAUAUCACAGUGGUACCUCAGGUUACAUACACUUCAGGUAUGCUUCAGGUUACAGACUCCGCUAACCGAGAAAUAGUGCUUCAGGUUAAGAACUUUGGUUCAGGAUGAGAACAGAAAUCAUGCUCUGGCGCACGGCAGCAGCAGGAGGCCCCAUUAGCUAAAGUGGUGCUUCAGGUUAAGUACAGUUUCAGGUUAAGAACGGACCUCUAGAACGAAUUAAGUACUUAACCCGAGGUACCACUGUACUAAAUUAACUUGGGCAAUACACAAAACCCUGAAGAAUGAUGAUAUGCAGAUAAGACAUGUUCUAGUUAGUACCUCUGCAGCCUGAAUGUCUCAUUAGGGUAUUCCUCGAGCAGCAAAGAUCCCAUGGGGGCCCAUCGUAAUGUGUUCUAUCCUGAGACUUGAGGGAGGGGGAAGUAUGCAUGGCAAAGAGAGGAGAAAUCUUUGUGUGGCUGUUCACAUGUGGAAUGUCUGUGUACAUGCGAGAAGCAGGUACAGGUGCAUCUGCUCUGUAGGGCCCAAUUCAAAGUGCUGGUUUUGACCUAUAAAGCCUUAAACAGCUGAGGACUGCAAUAACUGAAGGACCGCCUCUUUCCAUAUGAACCUACCCAGACCCUGAGAUCAUCUUCUCAGGCCCUCCUUCGUAUGCCUCCUCCUCGAGAGGUCCGGAGGGUGACAACACGAGAACGGGCCUUCUCUGUAGUGGCUCCCUGUUUGUGGAAUGCUCUCCCCAGGGAAGUUCGCCAGGCGCCUUCAUUAUACACCUUUAGGCGCCAGGCAAAAACGUUCCUUUUUAAGCAGGCCUUUGGUUGAUCUGACUAGAUUGAAGAUUAAAGUAUAAUUAUAACGGAAAACUAGGUAUAUAUAAUAAUUUUGUCAUUGUUUAUUAUUAUUAUUUAUUGGUGUUAUUAUUCUUUUUUUAAAUUAAUUAAAUUUUCUGUUUUACCAUUUAGAAUAUUCAUUUAGACAACCUUAAAAUAUCAAUGACUUCCCUUCUUCUCUUUCCAUGGUUCAUUUUGCGUAACAUAAAUCCCUGCAUAUUUUAUAUAAACUAAAUCAUUCAGUAUUCCAUUAUUACUUCCAUCAGAACAAAUUUACACUGUUGAAUUUAUCUUAAUGCUGCCGAUGUUCUCAAGCGUACACAAUCCCCCCCCCCAUAUAUUCAAUAAACAUUUUCCAAUCUCCUUUAAACGAAUGCUCUUCUUGUUCUCUUAUUCUGUAAGUUAGAUCCGCAAGCUGUCUGUAUUCCAUCAGUUCAAGUUGCCAUUCUUCUUUGCUUGGGACCUUGCUUGUUUUCCAUUUGGGGGCUUACAAAACACAGACUUCUUCCUGCUAUUAUUGGUGUUAUUCUUAAUGUUCUUUCUCUCUGCUUCCUCUUCCUCUUCUUAUUCCUCUUGAUCUUUUCUCUUUCCUUUUCGUAUUUUUGACUUCAUUUGUUCUAAAUAUUACCUUGCUGUAUUGUGAAAACUUUAAUAAAACUGUUGAGGGGGAGGGGAAUCCACGAGACACUGUUUGCUUUUUCUGCUCUGCUUCUGGCAGGAUCGGACACUCACCCAAUCCUCUGUUCUGAACAGAGGAGAUAUGUCAAGAUACGAGAAUGAACAUGGCAGGGGCUGAUCUAGGUGCAUUCCACCCCCCCAAUGAUAGGACAGCUUCAGGGUGGUGGGCCACACCAUCUUGUGGUCUUGUCUCUUUUUCUGCUCUUUUAGAUAUGGCAGCCAUUACGCCACCCACCCAGCCGCCAUGUUGUGUUACGCCACCAGGUUUCCCUUCUGCCUUCUGAAGCGAUAACAUCCUAGGACGUCUUCACCAGGUUCCUUUUGUACAUCAUCUGCUCUUUGGUGUACACGAUAUUACAGAGGACAUGGGCAGCAUAUCUCCACACACUCCGACGCUUUGAGCUUGCAAGCAAGUGAUAAGCUGUUAGCACAGAAGCAUCUCCAAGUGAGCUGUAGGUGUCAGACGGAUGCCAAGGUCAAUUGGGGCUAAUACGUGAGGCAGAAGAAACCGAAGGUGGUGGCGUGGCAGUCUGACAUGCAGUCUCGGUUAAUGGCAUCAAAUGGCCUAGAAAAGAGGAGAGGUGGAACUGUUAAGUGAGGCAUAACAACUAAACCUGCCGUUUAAUAAGCCGCAGCGGAGAUCAAAAAGAGCUCCUUCCCUCUUCUCAACCGGGUCACACUUAAUCCCAAAAGGCUUGUGGUUUGCUGAAACAUGCAUUUCAAAGCUGAUUACAUUUUGGGGGUGCUCCCCAAUGGAGGGGAUUUCAGGUGAGGCGCACCUGGAGUCAACAUGCUUCAAAUUCUGAGGUAGAGUCUCUGUUCAGUGUAUGGUAUCUGACACUAGAUGUUCAUAUUUGAUAUGACUUUUAGAAGACAUCUGAAGGCAGCCCUGUUUAGGGAAGCUUUUAAUGUUUGAUGUAUUACAGUAUUUUAAUAUUAUUAUUUUUUUAAGCCACCCAGAGUGGCUGGGGAAGCCCAGCCAGAUGGGCGGGGUGUAUAAAUAAAUUAUUAUUAUUAUUAUUAUUAUUAUUAUUAUUAUUAUUAUUAUCCAGAUCAGAAAUGGGUACUAUUUCACAGCUAUGGCAAGCAGAUGUUGGAGAAUCCAAAAGCAUUACACUGCUGAGAGAAUACCUUCCCAUUCCUGAGUCCCGGCUGGGCAAAGGGGAGGUUCAGUGGUGCAAACUUCUGUGGUGUGCAAUAUGGAAAUUUUAUGUCUAAUUUUUUUUUGUCUAAAAUAGUAUGUAUUAUUUCACUUCCUUCAAUAUGUGGUAAGGCAGUCCUGCUGCAUUUGGGGACCCUUCUGCUUAUUCCGUGAGCAAGAUCCUGGACCUCUGCCCCCCAAAACAUGACCUGGUUUCAUCACUGGGGAGGAUGUGACGGAAGAUCAAAAAUUAUUUUUUUUCAUAUGUGGUAAAAGAGUAUUGGGAAAUGAUCCAUAAUGAAUUUUUUUUAAAAAUGUUUAAAAGCACCUCCCCCCCCCCAAAAAAAAAACCCAGAGUCCUUUUCGUUGGGGAUAAUUCAGACGGAAAUUCGCAGGUGUCAAAAAUGGUUAUUUAUGUAUCCCGCUAUUGCGGCCUGUGUUUUGUUAGCUCAGAAAUGGAAAACGAGUGAGAUCCCAACUAAAGAAGAAUGGCAACUAGAGCUGACAGAAUAUGCGCCUCUUACAGACUUAAUAUAUAGAAUAAGAGAACAAGAUGAACAUACAUUUAAAGAAGACUGGAAAACGUUUAUUGAAUAUAUGGAGGGAAAUUAUGUACACUUGAAAAUGCUGGCAGGAUUAAAAUAAAUUCAACAGUGUAAAUUAGUUUUGAUGGAUGUAAUAAUGGAAUACUGAAUGGUUUACUUUAUGCAAAAUAUGCAGGGGUUUAUGAUAUGAGGGACGCGGGUGGCACUUUGGGUUAAACCACUGUGCUGCUUGGACUAGCCGAUUGAAAGGCCGGCAGUUCGAAUCCUCACAACGGGGUGAGCUCCCACUGCUCGGUCCCUGCUCCUGCCAACCUAGCAGUUCGAAAGCAUGCAGUGCAAGUAGAUAAAUAGGUACCACUCUGGCGAAAGGUAAACGGUGUUUCCGUGUGCUGCUCUGGUUUCGCCAGAAGCAGCUUAGUCAUGUUGGCCACAUGACCCGGAAAAAAUGUCUGCGGAAGCAAACAAACGCCAGCUCCCUCGGCGUGUAAAGCGAGAUGAGCGCCACAACCCCAGAGUCAUUUGCGACUGGACUUAAUUGUCAGGGAUCCCUUUACCUUUUACUUUAUGAUAUGCAAUGAACCAUGGAAAGAGAAGAAGGGAAGUCCCCCCCCCUCUCUUUCAAGGUAAAGGUACCCCUGACAGUUAAGUCCAGUUGCGAACGACUCUGGGGUUGCGACGUCCAUCUCACUUUACAGGCCAAGGGAGCUAGCGUUUGACCGCUCUGCAGACAGUUUUUCCGGGUCAUGUGGCUAGCAUGACUAAGUCGCUUUCUGGCGAACCAGAGCAGCGCAUGGAAACGCUGUUUACCUUCCCACUGGAGCGGUACCUAUUUAUCUAGUUGCACUUUUUGGCGUGCUUUCGAACUGCUAGGUUGGCAGGAGCUGGGACCGAGCAACGGGAGCUCACCCUGUCACGGGGAUUCGAACCGCCGACCUUUUGAUCGGCAAGCCCAAGGCUCAGUGGUUUAGACCACAGUGCCACCCACGUCCCUAUCUAUAUAUAUAUAUCUACAUAUAUUUGAGUUCUUGGUGUUGCGGGGAGGCUGCCUGCCCAUUGUUCUUGAAGUGGAGUGUGUGAGAGACUGAUAUCUUUCUGAGUGUGAGAAUGAAGUAGCUAUGUCUUCUAACUGAAUCCAAGUUGUGUGGGAGAAACAUAUCAAGUGUCUCAUAUAUUCAGAGUUUAUAAUCACUGGGACACAAGAAGGUUCUCCCCCCCCCCUUAAGCAGAAUGCAAACUCUGACACUUGACAGAGGUCUAUUGGGUGACUUCUGCAUGUCUAGCCUUCUUUCAGAUGUUGAUAUUUUCAUACAGGAUUAAUGCAGAAAUGAAUUUGCUAGAGGACAGCAUUUGACUUCGGUGAGCUAAUCUGACUGAAAAUUGUUGAGUACUUUCUUUUUGUGCUCCCCGGUUUCCCUUGCCCUCCUCCUCAUUGUUUUUAUGCGUCUUCCCACUCUGCUUGACAGGUAGCGUCGUUAACAAUUAGCAUUUAUAUAGAGCUUCAUCUCCGAAGCAUAUCGUAAACAUUAGCCAAUUUAAUCCAAGGAGCUAUUUGUGUUGUUGCACAGGGAGAAGAAUGAGGCUCGCCACAUGUCUGACAGUUGUAUAAUUGGAAUCAAUAGCACAGAAGCCCACUCAUCUCUGAGUGGGGAGGGGGGUUGCCUUGGUUUUAGAGUUAUAGCCCAGCUCUCUUUAAGGGUGUGUCAAAACUGUGGGGUUUUUCUACUACUACGUUCUACAACUUAGAACAACCCCAGAAGUUUGGGGAAUGGCAGCCAGGGUUUGGGGGGCGGGGCAGCAGAGCGAUCUUCAUGCAAUCUGUAAUUAUUCAGAUUAUGCUCAGCGCGUCAGUCUCCCAUCAUCUCUUGGCCUGGGAUUUGCACAUCGGCGAGGGGGGGGAAAAGGAGGAUCAACAUAUUCCCUAGGAAUUGCUAGUGUUGUUUGCUCUGAAAACAGAAGCAAGCAGCAACAGGAGCCCAGUUGUCGGGGAGGGAGUUGUGGUGGUGGGGAGAAAUGUCUGCAGGGCUCACUAUCUUGAAUUAUCAAGCCUGCACUUGAUUUGAGUUUUCUGCCAUAUAUUUGGGGAGGGCCAUAGCUCAUCUGUUUUACAUGCAGAUGGUCUCAGGUUCAAUCCUUCUUGGGAACGUGUUUUGAGUGGGUGGUCCCAGAUGGGAUCUAGGCCAGGGGUAGGCAACCUAAGGCCCGGGGGCCGGAUGCAACCCAAUCGCCUUCUCAAUCCGGCCCAGGAAUCAGCGUGUUUUUACAUGACAGGGGGUUUGGACUGGGUGUCCAUCAAUAUGCGGAUGAUAACCAGCUCUACCUCUCUUUCAUAUCGGAACCAGUGAAGGCGGUGAAGGUCCUGUGUGAGUGCCUGGAGGCGGUUGGAGGAUGGAUGGCGUCUAAUGGAUUGAGGUUGAAUCCUGACAAGACAGAAGUACUGUUCUUGGGGGACAGGGGGCGGGCUGGUAUGGAGGACUCCCUGGUCCUGAAUGGGGUAACUGUGCCCCUGAAGGACCAGGUGCGCAGCCUGGGAGUCAUUUUGGACUCACAGCUGUCCAUGGAGGCGCAGGUCAAUUCUGUGUUCAGGGCAGCUAUUUAUCAGCUCCAUCUGGUACGCAGGAUGAGACUCUACUUGCCGGCAGACUGUCUCACCAGAGUGGUGCAUGCUCUAGUUAUCUCCCACUUGGACUACUGCAAUGCGCUCUACGUGGGACUACCUUUGAAGCUGAACUACAACUAAUCCAGAAUGCGGCAGCUAGACUGGUGACUGGGAGCGGCCGCCGAGACCACAUAACACCGGUCUUGAAAGACCUACAUUGACUCCCAGUACAUUUCCAAGCACAAUUCAAAGUGUUGGUGUUGAUCUUUAAAGCCCUAAACGGCCUCGGCCCAGUAUACCUGAAGGAGCAUCUCCAUCGCCAUCGUUCUGCCCAGACGCUGAGGGCCUUCUGGCGGUUCCCUCAUUGCGAGAAGCAAAGCUACAGGGAACCAGGCAGAGGGACUUCUCGGUAGUGGCACCCGCCCUGUGGAACGCCCUCCCAUCAGAUGUCAAAGAGAUAAACAACUACCUGACAUUUAGAAGACAUCUGAAGGCAGCCCUGUUCAGGGAAGUUUUUAAUGUGUGACAUUUUAAUGUAUUUUUAAUCUUUGUUGGAAGCUGCCCAGAGUGGCUGGGGAAACCCAGCCAGAUGGGCGGGGUACAAAUAAUAAAUUAUUAGUAUUAUGAGUAGAAUGUGUCCUUUUAUUUAAAAUGCAUCUCUGGGUUAUUUGUGGGGCAUAGGAAUUCAUUCAUAUAUUUUUUUCCAAAAUAUCUUCCAGCCCACCACAUGGUCUGAGGGACGGUGGACCGGCCCACAGAUGAAAAAGGUUGCCGACCCUUCAGGCAGGAUGAUCUCCAGCGGGCAAGGUACAGAGGUGAAAGCUGUUUCUGGAUUCCGCUGGAUAUCUCUGGAGCUCUUGAUACCUUUAUCCAUGGUCUCCUUCUGGACUGCCUAGGGCGGCUGGGUCCCUCAGGGCUCCUUCCUCUCCUCCAUGCUUUUUCACAUCUGCACGAAGGCCCUUGGAUGACCUGAAUGGCCUGCUUUGCAUUGAGGCUGUCAUGGGCUGGCUUGUUUUUAAUUGUGGCACAGUUUUAGUCUAUAGAUCAUGCUGUGAUCUAUGAGGCUGGGAGCGCCGGCAGCAAGUAGGGAUGGCAGCCGUUUGGUGGCAGGAGACCUGGAAGCACAUGCAGUAGCUCCAUGUGUUAGAUGGAGCAUAUUCUCAGCCCCAAGGGAUCCAUAGGCUGUGCCAUCAGGUGUGCUCAGGUGCAACCUUUGGCUCUUACUGCCAAAUAUAUAAAUAUAUCUAUUUAAAACUGGCUUCCUGAGGUGCGUGGGGUAGGAUACAUAUGCAAUGGCAGAGCCUGUGAGUGCCUUGCAGCAGACUCCACAUAAAACAUCCUGCUCCUCUGUCAGAUGGCCUGUUUACUGAGCAUUAUUCUUGAUUUGUUUCUGGAAAGAUUACACAACCUUGGCUAUUUAUCGAGUAUCCAUUCCAUUAUUAUUAUUUAUUUAUAAUAAUUUUUAUUAGUUUUCAGUUACAGUCCAAUGAUAGCCUCAUUGUAACAAUGACAAAUUAUAAUACAGUUACUAAUACCAAUCAUUCUGAUACCAAAUUAUGUAAUUUAGGUGCUCCCCCACUCGUGCAAGAAUUGAUGGUUUGAUGAUUUUCUUUAUUUCUGCGUUCCAAAAUCUUACUAAUUUCAAUUACACUCCAGUCAAGAUAACAAUCCCUCAUACAACAACUGCAAUAUUAACAACUUUUAUUCGUUUUGACACAUUAAAUCAGGGGUCAGCAAACUUUUUCAACAGGGGGCCGGUCCACUGUCCCUCAGACCUUGUGGGGGGCCGGACUAUAUUUUGAAAAAAAUAUAUGAACGAAUUCCUAUGCCCCACCCAGGGAUGCAUUUUAAAUAAAAGGACACAUUCUACUCAUAUAAAAACACGCUGAUUCCUGGACCAUCCGCGGACCAGAUUUAAAAGGUGAUUGGGCCGGAUCUGGCCCCCGGGCCUUAGUUUGCCUACCCACGCAUUAAAUGAUUUAUGAAGCUACAAGUGAGGCAUUCAGUCUAUAUCCUUAUUCUUCCUGUGUGUGGCAAUUAUUCUGUCCGUGGUGUUUCUUCCUGUCCUUGUAAAAUGUUAUGUCUAUCUUUUCCCAUUUGUUGCUGUUCUCCAUCAUGCCUCGGGCAGAGAAAUAUCCCAUUGCUGUUUCAGAAAUUCUCCAUUGCUCUGCCCCAGACUUCAUUGUUUUGCAACUCUAACAGCAGCUGCAAAAAUCACACUGUCCAGCAUCCAUUCCAAUUCAUUUGUGAGGGGAUUAAACAAUAAUGCAUCAAGCAAAGAGGAAAAGGGACACGGAGGGAUGAGGAAAAUAAAAACCUGGGUGCCAAUUUCUAAACAGUUGUUCCUGUAGCGACUGGCUGGCCCAGUUCAGGGGCAGGAGGUGCCCGAUAGCACUGGACCUCUGGGAAAGCUGAUGAAAGGAGCUCUGCUUCCUUUCCAGCCCACUGCGGCAGCCUGAUAAUGGUUACCUGCCCCCAGGUAACAGUAGAGGAAAGAGGAUACCUCAUGGAGUGAGCCCUGCUUUCCAUCUCUCCCACUGAGCCAGCCUGGGGAAAUGGCUAGUAGUGACAGCACUCUCAGUUAGCAAUGCUAAUAAUAAUAAUAAUAAUAAUAAUAAUAAUAAUAAUAAUUUAUUUGUAUUUUACUUUAACACUGUACAAUGGACGCUCGGGUUGUGAACGCGAUCCAUGCAGGACACACGUUCGCAAGCCGCAGUGUUCGCAAGCCACAGCGGUGCGUCUGCGCACAAGUGGGUUGCAGUUCAGUGCUUCUGCACAUGCGCAAAGCGCGAUUUAGCACUUCUGCGCAUGCACGACCGCUGAAACCCAGAAGUAACCCAUUCCGGUACUUCCGGGUCUUGGCGCGUCUGUAACCUGAAAAAACGCAACCUGAAGCAUCUGUAACCUGAGGUAUGACUGUAUUUUAUGCCUCAUGACUGCUUGCACACGCACACACUCCCUCUCCAGAUGUUGUUAAAAAGCCUUUCAGAGAUGUGUGGUUCCCUCACCUCCAGCGAAAUGCCUAAGAGCAUUAGCAAAGGUGGGUUUAUGUGAGCAUAAACACUUGCCAGUUUUUGAAUUCAAGCUGGCGUUACUCAUGUGUGGAGAUUGUUGGAGCGGAAAAGGAGUCUUACUGGAGGAUUUUCUUCUCUUUGCCUCUGUUGCCUUUGGCACGCUGCAUUAGAGUCACGGUUUUGUAUUAACUCCUUUUCCCCACCCCAGAACUUCAAAGAUCCCUUAAAAAACAUCUCUAUCUAUCUAUCUAUCUAUCUAUCUAUCUAUCUAUCUAUCUAUCUAUCGUGUUAAAUAUAAGGAUAUGAUAAAACAGCAAAAGAAGCGGGUGUGACGAGUGUCCAAAAUGAUAUAAAAAUAAGAAUGAGAAAGGUAACACUUUAAAAAGAGGAUGGGAUAAAGAAAACUGGGUAACUAGAAGCAGGGCUGAAAUUAGGUUUGAAGCAGCCCUAAGCUACUGAAGGUAAUGGGGCCCUUUAUUUGUCCAGCUGUCCUUUGUCAACAACAAAUUGUCACUGUUUUGUGUUGAAUAUAUGCUAUAUGGUAAUUUAUGGACCUAAUAGGUAUGUGAAGCCAGUUGCACAUAACAAAUAUAAGCCUACACAACACAAAACAUUGUUGCUGUAUGUAGGUUUUAUUUUAUUUGUUUUUUAUCUUACAUUUUGGAAAUGUACAUCCAUGUUUUUUCCUUUUAAUUUUUUUUGGGGGGGCCCAAGAGAGUGGGGCCUUAAGCUAUAGCUUGUUUAGCUUAUACAUAAAUCUGGCACUGACUAGAAGGCAGUAGUAGCCCAGGAAAGUAAAACUGGAAUGAACAAUGAAUAACAGUGGUGUUAUUACAGCUUGGGGGCAGUACUGCAGUUGCACAGGCAGGCUGCAAUCUAUUUCCCGGGCCUGAGAGAAGCAGGGUUCACCCAAGCCCGGGAAAACCCCAUGUCUCCAGCACAGCUGCUGAAUCUUGGGGCUGGUGUUGUCGCCAUCCCGCAAUGGUGCCCGACUUAAAAGGUAAGCGUCAUUGGAAGACAAGCUGUUGUCUGUGUGGCACACACACAGUUAAAGGUUGCCUGGGAUGUGGCAAAGCCCAACACAGAAAUAAAAUUGUGCGUUUGUGAUGAAAUUAGUGUCCUCAUAAAAUAUUGAAAUGGCUCGCUGAAAACCAGCCUUUUUCAGUGGGAGCUCUCUUGAAUAUUUCAUCCCAAAGCCUCCCACUGUUUUGCAAGGGUGGUGUUUCCAAAGUAUUUAAGGCAGCGACUGAAAUGACCUGCUAAGUAUAAUGCCAAUGUACUUCGGAGACUGCCUACAACUCAAUUCCUGUAGGUCUUCCCCCCAUGAAGCAGUUGCUGGAACUGAAGGUCCCUGCCUUCCCACAGCUGCCUAAGUCUCCUCCUCUCCUGGGUUUCUUCCAAGCAAUCUGAGACUGUGUCUGCACGAAGCUAACCUCUCCCCCAUCCUUUUCAUGCCUCUUCUGGUUCUGGGAGACAAAGGGAGAGGGGAGCUUGUCUCAGCAGGAAGAGGAGACACCUGUGAAUCUUCACCAGCCUGACUCAUCUCUGCCUCUUGGUCUCUCUCCUCCCACCCUCCUUGCUUCAGCUUCUGCCUCUGAUUCUGGGUUUCUCUCUGCCACAGAUUCUCCCAGCUCACAAAGCCCUGUUAUCUCCUCAGCUUCUGACACAUCCUCUUCCCAGUGUUCUCCCUCUUACCUCUUAUUGUCGUCCCACCACCAGUCCCCUGACUCUGAGCCUUCUUCCCUUGGGGGGUCCCCAGCUGCUUCCUCCUACCAUUCAUCUGCAUCCAACCAGUCCAUGACAUUCAAGUUGGCUUCACAUUUGAGGAUUCUGUUUCACAUAAGAAGCUGCCUGCCAUAAACCAUUGGUCCAUCUUGCUCGGCGCUGUCUGUACUGACAAUCAAUGGCUCCUCCUGAUUUCAGAUGCCUGAGAUUGAACCACGGAUGUUCUACCUGCAAAAUAGAUGCUCUACUGCUGAACCACAGUCUUUCCACGCUGAAGAUUAAGGAAUGGAAGGUUGCCAUUUUGAAGGCUGAGAAUAAAAUUUCAC
rnacentral:lncRNA from 1 species